AUAAAAUGAAGAUUAAACUGAAGAGAAGAAUGCUUAUUUAACUUUCAGAAGAUCAUUCUAUUACAAUCAGUCAGUCUGAAACGAGGCUACCUCUGAAUCUUCCAGCUUUAACCAACUUUGUAGACUUGAUAGAGGCUGAUGGGGAGAUGCUUCUUCAUUCAUGGAGGAUUCAUCUGGAUGAAAAACUGAACAUUUUGGAUUUCCUCCAUAACUGAAUAGACCACUGCUAAGCUCCUCAGAAGUUGUCAUUUCCAGGGGGAUAUUAGUCUGGUAGACCAGCUGCCAAAAAGCCAUGCAGAUCCUGUGGGACAAAGUUCCAGCAGGACUUCACACUCUCCAUCCCCAGAAUGCAGCGAAUGAACAGGAUGCUUUGGUCUCCUUCACUACCUGGUUCUGCCAAUAUUACGAGGUGGCAAGAAGAGACUGCUUCCUCUACACUGAAUAAACCUACUACUGGAACAGACAGCUAUGAGACAAGUGCUUCUUGACACGGAGAGAAGGGAACGUGAGGAGGAGGAAAAUAAGGAUAUGCUGAGACAGACAGAAAAGACUUGGACAUUGUGGUUUGCAUGUUGGGAUGCAAGGGAUGUCUGGCAAAGGCUGCAGAGACAAAGGACCAGAGAGAAAGCUCUAAGUGAAACGGUACCCAGUUUUUCUUAAUAAUAAUAAAAAAAAUCCAUGAAACAGAUAGAUGUAAUCACAUAAUCACACUGCCAUGGCUAUAUAUGUCACAGCUACUUUCACAGUCAUGAAAGUAAAUGAUGAGAUAGAAAUCUCAUCAUAAGCCAUAUAUUCCAUGGAGGGUAGCACAGGAGGAAGAAAUUAAAUUAUGAAAUAAUAGGCUGACUGUCUGUGUCAUGAUUGCAAAUGGUCUAGAAAAUAUUAAAUCUAAUGUUUCUUAACUUCUGGCUUAGGUAAACACAAAUACUGAGGUUCUUCAAAUGUAGACUUUUAUAUUUGAGAAUAGGCAUGAUAUGGAGAAUGGAAGGGCAAAGAAGUUAAAAGAUCUCAAAAUUAAAAUCACUCUAAGUAACUGAAAUUAGUACACAGGAGACGUGCUGCCAUCCAACUUGUCCCUAUCUCGUCAGUCACUGCAUUUUUUACAGGCUUUUUUACAUCUGGAUUCAGACUCAAAUUGGUAAAUGACAUUAGAAAAAUAUUUAAUAAUAUUAGAGUUGUGAGUUGUUUUAUUGUAGGCUUUGCUUUGCUAUGUUUUCAGGAGAAAAUAUCUUGUGCUAGUGUUUUUGAAAUAUUUGAUCUUUCAGUUUCUUCCUAGUAUAAUAGCUAAACUACAACUAGUGAUAGAAAGAGGAUUGUAUUUUUAUUUUGAACCCGAACCUUGGAUUACUCAAGUCUCCAAACAGUUGUUUCUUGUAGAAUUAAAAUGUGAAUGUAGCUGUUCAAAAUGCUACAGCAUUGCAAAUGCAAACCUAUAUCCACCAAAAAGGGAACGUGGAUUGUCAAGUCAAAACAUAGUUCACCUUCAUUUUUGUGCAUGCUGGUUGGAGGUAAAAUUGGAUUAGAAUUUAAUGAGCUUUUAAUUCAAUUACACAAAGUAGUAGAUUGAUUGCAAUUUUACUGGGGAAA